GCUUACGUCGAUACCAGCUGGAGAAUGUCCGAUCUCGUCUGAUCUCCAAAGGUAAUCGAGUCUGGGCCUGGUUAGUACUUGGAUUGGAGUAAUGGGUGUUUUCACUG
rnacentral:rRNA from 1 species